GUUGGAGUAGAGUAGUAGUUAACUCGUCGCCCUUCCAAGGCGAAAACCCGGGUGCAGAUCCCGGCUCCAGCA
rnacentral:tRNA from 2 species